GAUGAUAUAGAUUUUCAGUUACAAUGAAAAAAACCCGGAGGGGCAUCUUUUUACUUUUAAUUAUGGUCCAA
rnacentral:tRNA from 1 species